rnacentral:rRNA from 1 species
GAUGAACGCUGGCGGCGUGCCUAAUACAUGCAAGUAGAACGCUGAAGGAGGAGCUUGCUCUUCUGGAUGAGUUGCGAACGGGUGAGUAACGCGUAGGUAACCUGCCUGGUAGCGGGGGAUAACUAUUGGAAACGAUAGCUAAUACCGCAUGACAACAGUUAUUGCAUGAUAACUGUUUAAAAGGGGCAACUGCUCCACUACCAGAUGGACCUGCGUUGUAUUAGCUAGUUGGUGAGGUAACGGCUCACCAAGGCGACGAUACAUAGCCGACCUGAGAGGGUGAUCGGCUACACUGGGACUGAGACACGGCCCAGACUCCUACGGGAGGCAGCAGUAGGGAAUCUUCGGCAAUGGACGGAAGUCUGACCGAGCAACGCCGCGUGAGUGAAGAAGGUUUUCGGAUCGUAAAGCUCUGUUGUAAGAGAAGAACGAGUGUGAGAGUGGAAAGUUCACACUGUGACGGUAUCUUACCAGAAAGGGACGGCUAACUACGUG